UACGUAGGUGGCAAGCGUUGUCCGGAUUUACUGGGCGUAAAGAGCGCGCAGGCGGCCGAGUAAGUCGAAUGUGAAAUCCCCCGGCUUAACCGGGGAACGUCAUUCGAUACUGUUCGGCUUGAAGAUAGGAGAGGGAAGCGGAAUUUCAGGUGUAGUGGUGAAAUGCGUAGAUAUCUGAAGGAACACCAGUGGCGAAGGCGGCUUUCUGGCCUAUUCUUGACGCUGAGGCGCGAAAGCUAGGGGAGCGAACGGG
rnacentral:rRNA from 1 species